rnacentral:pre_miRNA from 2 species
UGCUGGAAGACGGGUAAUGGGUGUACAAUACUGAAGCACCCAAUCGGUCCUCCCCCAUC